GAUGAGCGCUAGCUACAGGCUUAACACAUGCAAGUCGAGGGGAAACGACAUCGAAAGCUUGCUUUUGAUGGGCGUCGACCGGCGCACGGGUGAGUAACGCGUAUCCAACCUGCCCAUCACUUGGGAAUAACCUUGCGAAAGUAAGACUAAUACCCAAUGAUAUCCCACGAAGGCAUCGGAAUGGGAUUAAAGAUUUAUCGGUGAUGGAUGGGGAUGCGUCUGAUUAGCUUGUUGGCGGGGUAACGGCCCACCAAGGCAACGAUCAGUAGGGGUUCUGAGAGGAAGGUCCCCCACAUUGGAACUGAGACACGGUCCAAACUCCUACGGGAGGCAGCAGUGAGGAAUAUUGGUCAAUGGGCGAGAGCCUGAACCAGCCAAGUAGCGUGCAGGAAGACGGCCCUAUGGGUUGUAAACUGCUUUUAUAAGGGAAUAAAGUGGGUCACGUGUGACUUUUUGCAUGUACCUUAUGAAUAAGGACCGGCUAAUUCCGU
rnacentral:rRNA from 1 species